AGUUAUUUGCAGCAAAGGGUAAAAUCAAGAUGCUGCUAGUGUAAUCGAAUAGACAAAUUUGUGCUGAAGCUAAAAAAAUCCAGUUAAAAACUAGGAUUAGAUACCCUACUAUUCUGGAUUGGAAAUAUAUUAUUAAGUUAGUAUUAGUUAGAUGCUUAAAAACCAAAAAAUUUGGCGGUGGCUUAAUCUUACCAGAGGAACUUGUUUCUUUAUCGAUAUACCACGAAGAAUCUUACUUACUUUUGUAAAUUAGUCAGUUUGUAUACCAUCAUUAGCAGGCAAUUUUAACAAAACUAAUUGCUAAUUAUUAAUUGAUUAUUGAAAUUAGAUCAUGGUGCAGCAUAUAAGUAAGUUGAAAUGAGUUACAAUAACUUUUGUUAGACGGAUCAGUAAAGUAAUUAUUACUGUAAAGGAGGAUUUGGUUGUAUUUCAAGUUUAAUAAGCUUUUAGGACAUUGGUUCUAAGCCAUGUACAUAUCGCCCGUCGCUUUCGU
rnacentral:rRNA from 1 species